CGCGUAGGCGGUCUGCUAAGUUCGGUGUGAAAUCCCCCUGGCUCAACUGGGGAACUGCGCCGGAAACUGGCAGACUAGAGUACCGGAGAGGAGGGUGGAAUUCCUGGUGUAGCGGUGAAAUGCGUAGAUAUCAGGAGGAACACCGGUGGCGAAGGCGGCCCUCUGGACGGAUACUGACGCUGAGGCGCGAAAGCGUGGGAUCAAACA
rnacentral:rRNA from 1 species